AGGACGAACGCUGGCGGCGCGCUUAACACAUGCAAGUCGAGCGAGAACCUUUCCUUCGGGAUUGGGGACAGCGGCGAACGGGUGAGUAACACGUGGGUAAUCUGCCCUUGACAUCGGGAUAGCCCGGGGAAACCCGGAUUAAUACCGAAUAGCCUCCGGAGCCCUCGGGCGCCGGAGAAAAGGUAGCUUCGGCCUCUGGUCAAGGAUGAGCCUGCGGCGGAUUAGCUUGUUGGCGGGGUAAUGGCCCACCAAGGCGACGAUCCGUAGCUGGUCUGAGAGGACGAUCAGCCACACUGGGACUGAGACACGGCCCAGACUCCUACGGGAGGCAGCAGUGGGGAAUCUUGCGCAAAUGCGGGAAACCGUGACGCAGCGACGCCGCGUGGGGGAAGAAGGCCUUCGGGUUGUAAACCGCUUUGCCGAGGGAGAGAACGGACGGUACUCGGCGAAUAAGGGCCGGCUAACUACGUGCCAGCAGCCGC
rnacentral:rRNA from 1 species